AUUGAACGCUGGCGGCAUGCCUUACACAUGCAAGUCGAACGGCAGCACGGGUGCUUGCACCUGGUGGCGAGUGGCGAACGGGUGAGUAAUACAUCGGAACAUGUCCUGUAGUGGGGGAUAGCCCGGCGAAAGCCGGAUUAAUACCGCAUACGAUCUACGGAUGAAAGCGGGGGACCUUCGGGCCUCGCGCUAUAGGGUUGGCCGAUGGCUGAUUAGCUAGUUGGUGGGGUAAAGGCCUACCAAGGCGACGAUCAGUAGCUGGUCUGAGAGGACGACCAGCCACACUGGGACUGAGGCACGGCCCAGACUCCUACGGGAGGCAGCAGUGGGGAAUUUUGGACAGUGGGCGAAAGCCUGAUCCAGCAAUGCCGCGUGUGUGAAGAAGGCCUUCGGGUUGUAAAGCACUUUUGUCCGGAAAGAAAUCCUUGGCCCUAAUACGGUCGGGGGAUGACGGUACCGGAAGAAUAAGCACCGGCUAACUACGU
rnacentral:rRNA from 1 species